CGACAUUGGGGGAGCUUUGGUGCCCCCGGUUCGCGGGGGUGAAAAGGGAAGCCGGUGCAGAUCCGGCGCUGCCCCCGCAACUGUGAGCGGCGAGGCCCCCUCCGAUUGCCACUGGCCGCGAAAGGGCCGGGAAGGCGGAGCGGGCCCCUGACCCGCAAGCCAGGAGACCUGCCAGGGCAUGACGGUCACC
rnacentral:ncRNA from 2 species